rnacentral:rRNA from 1 species
GACGAACGCUGGCGGCGUGCUUAACACAUGCAAGUCGAACGAUGAAGAAGAGAAACGCGAACUUCGGUUCAAAUUUCACUUCGGAUUAGUGGCAGACGGGUGAGUAACGCGUGAGCAACCUACCUCUUACAAAGGGAUAGCCUCGGGAAACCGUGAUUAAUACCAUAUGACACAUUCAUAAGGCAUCUUAAGAAUGUUAAAGCUACGGCGGUAAGAGAUGGGCUCGCGUCCCAUUAGCUAGUUGGUGAGGUAACGGCCCACCAAGGCGACGAUGGGUAACCGGACUGAGAGGGUGAACGGUCACAUUGGAACUGAGACACGGUCCAAACUCCUACGGGAGGCAGCAGUGGGGAAUAUUGCAAAAUGGAGGGAACUCUGAUGCAGCGACGCCGCGUGAGAGAUGAAGGAAUUCGUUUCGUAAAGCUCUGUUCUAUGGGAAGAAAAGGACUGUAACAUAGGAGAAAGCCCCGGCUAAAUACGUG